AGUUAACACAGAGCUAUAUUUUAAGAAAUCAUUCUGGGUAAUACUUUUUUUUUCUUUCUUUCUUUUUAUUUAUUUAUUUUUUACAACCUUCUUGUCUUUCUCCAACACACACAGAGAUGGAUGAAGAUGUUGAUUGCUGAGCAUUACCCCCUCCAAGCUACAGGUGCAGUCACCACCAUCAUCAUCCUCAGCAGCUGAACCGAUGCCUAAUUAUUAUUAAUAUUUUAAUCCUGCAGUACCUUCUGCUUCCCUCUCAGAGUGACACAAUUUCAUGCACCACCCAUGUGCCCCACAAUACCUGUGUCCAUUCCUAAAGACUUGAUGUUCCUUGUAAAAGAUACGACAAAAGUGGAGAGAACGGCUUCAACUACAGGAGACAGCAGCACUAUAGACACCUCUCGAGUGUGCAGGACACUUACUCUCGAGGAAUGUGGCAAAAGCAAAGAUCUCUCUUCUUCAGCAACCACUACAUAUAGUCUCCAACAGACAGCGGAGGCAUCACAUGG